AAAGUAGCUGGGAUGUCAAAUGGGUUAGGGGUGAAAACGGAACGGAUAUUAUUCGAAAAUAUUUGGAUCCAUAUAAAAAUAUUUGGAUAUGGUCGGAUAUGGAUAUGAAUAUGAUUUUAGAAAGUUAAGUUUUUCUGGAUAUUCGAAAGAAAAAAUAUAAAUGUGGAUAUUCGGACUUUUAGUAUUAUUUUUUUUAUAUUGUAUUUUUGGAUCUGUCCGGCCUAAUUUCGCCCUCCCGGUCUGCUCAAAUCCUUUUCUUCCAAUUUACGUGGUUGUGAUAUUACCACUUUUAUUUGCGAAUCCUCUAAUUCAUUACCAAUCAAGGUAAGGAAUGAUGUGGAAAAAUAAGAUGAAUUUUUAUAUUAUUCGUUUAUUUUAUAAUGAGUUAUAUGUUAAAAUUAUAUAUUUUACAUGUGGAGAAAUAUAGUUAGUAAACAAAGUAGGAAAAUAAAGUAAUUUUUGUGUAUGUGCAUAUUAAUGUGUAUUAUUAUUCAAAUACAUAUUUGAUCUAUAUUCGAAUCUGAAAAAAUAUCCAAUCAUAUUCGGAUAUGUUUUUAGCGGAUAUAAUUAUAAAAAUUUAGCAUUCGACACAUAUCCGUGUCUGAAUCCAUAUUUAAAAAAAUAUGUGGAUGCGGAUAUGGUGUCGUCAAAUAUUCGACCAUAUUCAAUCCAUUUUCACCCCUACAAUGGGUACAGAUAUCUAAAAUUUUAUCCGAAUUUGAAUUCGAACAAAACAAAUUCUUAUCGGAUGCUAAACUGUUAUAAUUUUAGAUAUGGGUAUAAAAAAUAAAAUUGGACUGAUUUGAAUUCGGAUAUGAAUUUUAUUCGUGUCCGAUCAGAAACCGAACCCGAUUUGAAUUCGAAUUGAUUUUAUAUUAUAUAAUAUAUAUGAGUAUUUGAUAUUAUAUUUAAACUUGUAUAGUUGUAUCCUUAAAAUUUAAAUUUUAAUAUUAUCAUAUUUUGAAAUAUGCCAAAGACAAAUAAUUAUUUUGGGUUUGGAUUUUCAGGUUUGUGUUCAUGCUUUGAAUAUUUGCCCAGAUUCGAAUUUGGAUAUGAAUUUUUAAAAUCCGUCCGGUUCACGUUCGGGUUCAGAGUACGGGUUCGGAUUUCACAAAAGUGGCUCAUUCCAUUUCCCAUUAAGUGCUCCCACAAUAGACUUCAAGUUACUUAUGUAUGCUGAAUCAAAACUCACAAAACGCUUCAGACAAAAAUAACGAAUCGUUCUUAGCGCAAGUGGUAAAAGACAUGAUGAUUGCUACCAGAGAUCUCAAGUUCGAAACUAGUUGUUUUGCAUUUUCAGUGCCUCAAUUACGCUAAAUAGAAACUCAUGAGCAAUUAGUAUGAUAUUUGAUUUUGACUUUGUCUGCAAUAACUUUUAGACAAAAAUAGCUAAUCAUUCAUAUAAAGCAAGUGACAAAGAGUCUGAUGGUUUCUUCAUUCGGUCGCAAAUUCGAAGUCUAGUUUUUUUUUUUUUCAGUAUGUUAAGCACGUUAAAUUGAAACUCAUAAACAGUUAAUAUGAUAUUUGAUUUUGACUGUCUGUAGUAACCUUCAAAGAAAAAUAACUAACUGUUCCUAGCACGAGUGACAAAAGAGUUGAUAGUUGCUACCUGUAUUCUCAAAUUUGAAAUCUAAUUGUUUCACACUUUCGGGGUCUUAGAUAUGCUAAAUUGAAACUCAUAAACAAUUAAUAUGAUAUUUAAUUUUGACUGUGUCUGCAGUAAUUUCAGACAAAAAUAGCUAAUCGUUUCUAGCGCAAGUAGCAAAGAAUUUACUACUUGCUAUCGGAGGUUUCAAAUUUGAAGUGAAAUAAACAAUCAAUUAAGCGAAAAUAACACAUAUAUUUAUAUGUUAGUGACUUAUCUAUACCUAUACAUUAUUCCUCUUAAAUUUGCCAUAUGGCCUUCAUUGUUUAGUGUGGACUCUAACUAGAACCAGCUCAGAUCCUCCAUAUGUUUUCUUCUUUUUUUGUUUGAAUCGAAUCGAAUCGAAUUUUUCUCUUUCUUUGCUUGAACUGAACUGAUUAUUGUUAAGUGUUAGUUUUUCCGAACCGACUCAAGUCUUCUAUAUAUUUUUCUCUUUCUUUAUUUGAAAUGAACCUAAUUUCUCUUUUUCUUUACUUGAAUCAAACUAGGUCAACCUCUUUUUUUGUUUGCUUGAACCGAAUCGGGCACACCUCUGCAUUGAGCCGAACUGUUGUUCUUUCUCUUCCUUCAGUUUCCUUCAUCGGCAAGAUGAAUCCCAUUCUUUAUCAUCGUUUCUUUUAUUAUCGUUUUCUCUUCCUUCAUCGUCAUUUUUUAUUUCUUUCUUUAAUUAUUUAUUCGUCGUAUCGCACGGAUUAGUAUACUCGUUAUUCAU
rnacentral:lncRNA from 1 species